GGCCCUGCAGGUGGAAGAGGCAGGAGGAGCCCCACGGUAAACGCCAAGUCCAGCCAAGAGGUGACACUGGACCCUGCCAGGUAUCAGAGGAGCCGUGAAUGGAAGAGCGGACAAAGGAGAUCUGAUUCAGGAAGACAAGAAAAGGCCACCUUGCAGGUGGCCCUCAGACCAGUAGGAAACCACCCUCUCAAAGGGCCCCGAGCCAAACGCUACGUCCAGCAACCCCCGUGGGAUUUCAGUGAAGGACCUGAGGAUGUCAGAGGUGGGAGGAAUCACUCAGGCCCCUCCCUCAGUUUGCAGACAAGGAAACUGAAGCCCUCUGAGGGUCCCCAAAGCCAAAAUGUUUCUCAAGCAAGGUCUCCCUUAGAAAGUCAUCAUUCAAAUAAUGGGAUCAUAACCCUAAUAGGUUAUGAUUUAAAUAAUAAAACCCUUUAUUUGGGGGGCUCCAAAAUCAGUGCAGAUGGUGACUGCAGCCAUGAAAUUAAGAUGCUUACUCCUUGGAAGAAAAGCUACAACCAACCUAGACAGCAUAUUAAAAAGCAGAGACAUUACUUUGCCCACAAAGGUCUGUCUAGUCAAUGCUAUGGUUUUUCCAGUAGUCAUGUAUGGAUGUGAGCUGGACUAUAAAGAAAGCUGAGCACCAAAGAAUUGAUGCUUUUGAACUGUGGUAUUGGAGAAGACUCUUGAAAGUCCCUUGGACUGAAAGGAGAUCCAGUCCAUCCUAAAGGAAAUCAGUCCUGAAUAUUCACUGGAAGGACUGAUGCUGAGGCUGAAACUCCAAUCCUUUGGCCACCUGAUGCAAGAACUGACUCAUUGGAAAAGACCCUGAUGCUGGGAAAGAUUGAAGGCAGGAGGAGAGGGGGAUGACAGAGGAUGAGACGGUUGAAAGGUGUCACCAACUCAAUGGACAUGAGUUUGAGCAAGCUCCAGGAGUUGGUGAUGGACAGGGAAGCCUUGCAUGCUGCUGUCCAUGGGGUCACAAAGAGUUGGACAUGACUGAGCAACUGAACUGACCUGAACCCUAAUAAGGUUGCUGGAGGGUCAGCAGAGGGAAUCUAUGUAAAAUCUUAGCACAGAGUCCAGCUCCCAGCUCUCUUUAAAGGGCAGUAAUAGGGACUUACCAGGUGGUCCAGUGGUUACUAAUCCACCUGCCAGUGCAGGGGACACAGGUUCAGUCCCUGGUCCAGGAGGAUCCCACAUACCACAGAGCAACUAAACCCGUGUACCACAACUACUGAAGCCCACACCCUAGAGCCCACAACAAGAGAAGCCACUGCAAUGAGACGCUCACACACUGCAAUGAAGAGCAGCCUCCGUAAUCAGAGAAAGCCUGUGUGCAGCAAUGGAGACCCAGUGCAGCCAAAAUAAAUAAGUAAUUUUUACAAACA
rnacentral:lncRNA from 1 species